rnacentral:rRNA from 1 species
GUGGCGAACGGGUGAGUAACACGUGGGCAAUCUGCCCUUCACUCUGGGACAAGCCCUGGAAACGGGGUCUAAUACCGGAUAUCACUCCUGCAGGCAUCUGCGGGGGUCGAAAGCUCCGGCGGUGAAGGAUGAGCCCGCGGCCUAUCAGCUUGUUGGUGAGGUAAUGGCUCACCAAGGCGACGACGGGUAGCCGGCCUGAGAGGGCGACCGGCCACACUGGGACUGAGACACGGCCCAGACUCCUACGGGAGGCAGCAGUGGGGAAUAUUGCACAAUGGGCGAAAGCCUGAUGCAGCGACGCCGCGUGAGGGAUGACGGCCUUCGGGUUGUAAACCUCUUUCAGCAGGGAAGAAGCGAGAGUGACGGUACCUGCAGAAGAAGCGCCGGCUAACUACGUGCCAGCAGCCGCGGUAAUACGUAGGGCGCAAGCGUUGUCCGGAAUUAUUGGGCGUAAAGAGCUCGUAGGCGGCUUGUCACGUCGGGUGUGAAAGCCCGGGGCUUAACCCCGGGUCUGCAUUCGAUACGGGCUAGCU